GGAGGCGUCAGGGUUCCUGGUGGGCUCCCCGGUCUUCAAAACCGGUGAGGCCGAGCAUCUCGGCCUGGCGGGUUCGAUUCCCGUCCGCCUCCGCCA
rnacentral:tRNA from 1 species